rnacentral:tRNA from 1 species
AGUUAACUGUGCAAUUCAGUUUAAUUUGAUAAUAAAAAUCUUACUUGAUUUAAUUAUUUUUAUUUUUGAGAAAAAU